rnacentral:rRNA from 1 species
GAUGAACGCUAGCGGCAGGCCUAAUACAUGCAAGUCGAACGCUCAGUAGCAAUACUGGGAGUGGCGCACGGGUGCGUAACGCGUACACAAUCUACCUCUAAGCGGGGGACACCUCCUGGAAACGGGGAUUAAUACCGCAUAAUAUGCCGAGGUCGCAUGACUUUGGUAUUAAAGCAGCAAUGCACUUAGAGAUGAGUGUGCGUCCCAUUAGGUAGUUGGUGAGGUAACGGCUCACCAAGCCUAUGAUGGGUAGCCGGUCUGAGAGGAUGGUCGGCCACACGGGCACUGAGACACGGGCCCGACUCCUACGGGAGGCAGCAGUAAGGAAUAUUGGUCAAUGGUGGAAACACUGAACCAGCCAUGCCGCGUGGAGGAAUAAGGUCCUACGGAUUGUAAACUCCUUUUGACGAGGAAGAAAGUGUUAGAUUUAUCUAAUUUUGACGGUACUCGUAGAAUAAGCACCGGCUAACUCCGUG